GUGGAGAAGGGUGAGGGGGAGCAGCACUUUCCCCCUUUCAGCAACUGCACCUCUGCCUGAGAUGAGUCUCAUUUUACCUGUACAGUAUUAAAAAAAAACAAAACACCACCGUACUCCCUGCACCAACCACCCAACUGUUCCGACUUUCUUUAAAAGCAGCUGCUAAAGAAAAGCGGGAAAGACUGGGGCGGAGGGGAGACAAAUAAAUAAAUAAAAGCCAGCGCGAGGGGGAAGGGGAGAGCAGGGAGAGAGGGAGCGCCCGGGACGCGAGACAGCGGCGGGUUCAAUUAGCUAAACAAAGAAAUCAUGGCGGACUGUUUACGCUGGGCCGCGUCGGGCUGCGCGGACGCCGGCCCGAGCCGCCGCGGCCCCUGGAGUCGCAGAGCUGCCCCGCGCCCUGGCCGGAUUCUUGAGACUAUUGCUUUGCUGAAAACAUUUGACAGCCACUCUGGAAUGUGACACUUAAGAUGAAUUCUAGCCCAGGAAUGCAGGUGGAGGGCAUCUGAAGUGUUGUGAAAGCAGUGGCAUGGAGAUGUCUUCUUGCACCAGCGACUGGCUUUUUUACAGACACAGAGAUGGUGUAACCCUCAUAUGGGGGACCCAAGAGGAUGUUGUAUAUUGCCAAAAACCAGCUACACUGCAUACUCUUAGAGAAGAAAUUGAAAAUGUAUGGACAGCGAUCUCAAUAAGCAAGGUUACCCAAGGAGCAGUUUGCUGUACUAAUAAAUGUCUGAAAGCUAAUGGCCACUACUUUGGGCACCUCUUGUAAUUGCAGAGGCUAAUAACUGCUCACGACUGACUGCACUAAAGUUGAAAUGUGUCACUAAGAGUUACUUCUCCUAUUGAAGAUCCUUCCCGUUGGAUGGCACUGGGCAGCAGCAAUCACCCUGUUUUGAUCACACCUGAACGAAACAGUACAUGACUGCGGCUUGCUUCUAAUGGGAUCUUGAUACAAAUUUGUUGAAGGAAUGAAUGAAAAAAAAUGGCAAAUGUGAAGACAAGAAUCCCCAAGAGGUUCUACAGAUGACAUAAUGAUGAUAAGGAUAAUGGUGGUGAGUAUCAUUUUAUCCAGGGUUAUUCUGAGAAAAGAACUUUGAAAAGUGCUAAAUAACUAUAUUUUAGCUUUCCAGCAGUCCUAUUAAGAGGUGAUUAUUACUAUUCCCAUUCUACAGAUCCAGAAACAACCUCAGAGAAUUAACAUAAUUUGUGAGUGAUCAACAAAUAGGAAUAUUUAAAUGAAAAAAAAUUUGUGACAGUAAAAGGCACAUUGCCAUUAAUACUCCUAAAAAUAUUCCCCUUCACUUCGAACACACUUAUCCAUUAUUCUUGCUACUUUCUGAAGCAAUUCCUGAGUGUCUUUUUAUGGCUCCCUCCAUGUUCUGAGUUGAUUCAAAAUAUUUACAGCAAUUUCUGACAAAUAGACGCUAGUGUCUCCUUAUCCACCAGAUCUGGCACUGUGCAACUUCUGGCUCUUUCCUAAAGUCAAAAUGACCCUGAAAGGUAACUGUUUAGAAUUGAUUUAGGACAUGAAGAUAGCCACAACACCACAGAUAAAGACACAAAACAAGACUUUUAGAACUGCUUCAAAAAAUGGCAAGAAUGAAGGGAUACAUGCAAAUUGAGAGAGUAUUUUGAGGGAGAUUAAUGGCAAUGUGACUUUUAUUGUAAUGGUUUUGAAAAAUGAAACAUUCUCCAUAUAUUGUGUUCAUACCUCUGUCCAAAAUCACAGAAAUAGUAAGUAGCAGUUCUAAGACUUCAUCCCAGGUGCAUCUGAUACUGCAAUCAAAAACACUAUCUCAUAGAAAUGGAUUUCCUUUUAGUCCUCUGUGAUUGCUCUUCAAUUUAAAGUUGUACCACAUUCUCCUCAGAUAAAGCAUUAGUCUUUAAGGAGCUGGUGCAGAGGAGGGAAAGCCCAGGACCACCGGGUGUACUUGUGCAAAGUGUGCUUGCAGUACUUCAGAAGCUAUCAGUCGCCAAAACCUUUAUGUGAAUUGUGUCUCCUGGAGGUAUGCAAUGCACAAUAUUCACAAAUUCUUAUGAAUCUGAAAUCUGAGGCUUAUUUGAAGCAAGCAGUUCUUUUACUUUUCAAUCUAAAUGUUGACUGUUUAGGGGAACUGUACAUUUUUCCUGUCUAACUCAGAGAUUAUUUUAGGUAAAAAAACCUAUCCCAAGCGAGCUUUAUCACACUAUCUUAACAGUGGAAAAGUAUUCUUGGUGUAUACUAAGGAUCUUAUUUACUAAAGUAAUUGUUAACAAAGACCAUCCACAAAAAUAUUUCAAGUGGCAAAGAAUCAUGCAAUUAUAAUUCUGAAUAAAUAUUAAAAAUGUUUUUAUUGCCCAGAAAAUUAAAUCAUGUUAUUGAACAGUAUCUCUGACUUUUCUCAGUGUUAUUCAAUAAAGAUUUUCCUAAAGGUGAUUUUGAUUCAUUGUAGGGUAGGCACCAAAAAAUAAAUAACCUGGCAGAUGCAAUGCCAGAUGACAAAUAUGAAAGCACGUUCACUUAAUCUCUGCCUCAUUGUUUCACUAAUCUAUCUUUUUAAAUUUCCAAAGUUCUUCUCAAAGUCUUAGUUUAAGUUAACACUCUAAGCUUUUGAUAUUCAUUCUUUCAUUUAGGAAAUAUUUCCCAAAUCUUAAAAAGAGC
ensembl:lncRNA